GCCGGGCGUGGUGGUGCACGCCUGUAAUCCCAGCUACUCAGGAGGCUGAGGAAGGAGAAUUGCUUGAACCCAGGAGGCGGAGGUUGCAGUGAGCUGAGAUCGCGCCACUGCACUCCAACCUGGGUGACAGAGCAAGACUCCAUCUCAG
ensembl:misc_RNA Metazoa_SRP Metazoan signal recognition particle RNA